CUCUGUCUCAAAAAAAAUAAAAUAAGGAAAUAUAAAAGAAUAUGGAGGCAUUAAUAUAGUCAUUGUUUAUGUUGGCAUUUUGAUGUCUAUAUUAUUUUUUAAAACAUUUAAUAAUUUUAUAAUAAUUUCUAAUUUAUGAUUUAGUACUGUGUCUUGUAUAGUAAGUUGAACAUCAUGAAUCCAGAACAUUUAUCUGCAGUUAUUCUUAUAUAAUGUUAAUAACUAGGUUUUUCAUUGAAUGUUAGUCAACUAUUUUAGUAACUUAGUAAAAGGAAUCUUUUAAGAGCAUUGUACAAAUAUAGCACAUACAAUAUAGAUUUCUUUUUAUUUUACUUAUGCCCUCUUUUUUAUUUCUAAAAGCUGCACAUGUAAACUUAAAUAUUUAAACUGAAAUGGGAUGUCUUAUAGAAUGAUUUGGGGGGGGUGUUAGUGUUCUAAAAUAAUAUCUGUACACAAAAUAUUGGUUUUAUAUAUUGUAGGUAUGCCCAAGAGGACAGAGAACGAAUGCACAGAAAUAUUGUCAGCCUUGCACAGAAUCUCCUGAACUUUAUGAUUGGCUCUAUCUUGGAUUUAUGGCAAUGCUUCCUCUGGUUUUACAUUGGUUCUUCAUUGAAUGGUACUCGGGGAAAAAGAGUUCCAGCGCACUUUUCCAACACAUCACUGCAUUAUUUGAAUGCAGCAUGGCAGCUAUUAUCACCUUACUUGUGAGUGAUCCAGUUGGUGUUCUUUAUAUUCGUUCAUGUCGAGUAUUGAUGCUUUCUGACUGGUACACGAUGCUUUACAACCCAAGUCCAGAUUACGUUACCACAGUGCACUGUACUCAUGAAGCCGUCUACCCACUAUAUACCAUUGUAUUUAUCUAUUAUGCAUUCUGCUUGGUAUUAAUGAUGCUGCUCCGACCUCUUCUGGUGAAGAAGAUUGCAUGUGGGUUAGGGAAAUCUGAUCGAUUUAAAAGUAUUUAUGCUGCACUUUACUUCUUCCCAAUUUUAACCGUGCUUCAGGCAGUUGGUGGAGGCCUUUUAUAUUAUGCCUUCCCAUACAUUAUAUUAGUGUUAUCUUUGGUUACUCUGGCUGUGUACAUGUCCGCUUCUGAAAUAGAGAACUGCUAUGAUCUUCUGGUCAGAAAGAAAAGACUUAUUGUUCUCUUCAGCCACUGGUUACUUCAUGCCUAUGGAAUAAUCUCCAUUUCCAGAGUGGAUAAACUUGAGCAAGAUUUGCCCCUUUUGGCUUUGGUACCUACACCAGCCCUUUUUUACUUGUUCACUGCAAAAUUUACUGAACCUUCACGGAUACUCUCAGAAGGAGCCAAUGGACACUGAGUGUAGACAUGUGAAAUGCCAAAAACCUGAGAAGUGCUCCUAAUAAAAAAGUAAAUCAAUCUUAACAAUGUAUGAGAACUAUUCUGUCAUAUAUGGGAACAAGAUUGUAAGUAUAUCUUAAUGUUUGGGUUUGUCUUUGUUUUGUUUAUGGUUAGACUUACAGACUUGGAAAAUGCAAAACUCCGUAAUACUCUGUUACACAGGGUAAUAUUAUCUGCUGUACUGGAAGGCCGCUAGGAAGCCCUUGCUUCUCUCAACAGUUCAGCUGUUCUUUAGGCAAAAUCAUGUUUCUGUGUACCUAGCAAUGUGUUCACAUUUUAUUAAGAAAAAAUUUAACCCGUGUAAUCUGCAAUCCUUAACAGUGGCAUAAUUGUACGUACCUGUUGUGUUUCAGUUUGUUUUUCACCUAUAAUGAACUGUAAAGACAUACAUACUUGUGGGGUCUGAUAGCAAACAUAGAAAUGAUGUAUAUUGUUUUUUGUUAUCUAUUUAUUUUCACCAAUACAGUAUUUUGAUGUAUUGCAAAAAUAGAUAAUAAUUUAUAUAACAGGUUUUCUGUUUAUAGAUUGGUUCAAGAUUUGUUUGGAUUAUUGUUCCUGUAAAGAAAACAAUAAUAAAAAGCUUAACUAC
rnacentral:sRNA from 1 species